rnacentral:rRNA from 1 species
AUUUUUUUAAUAAUUAAAAAUUUAUGAUUAAAUAUAUAAUUUAAAUAUAUUAAAAAUAUUAAAUUUAAUUGAAUUAAAUAAUUUUUAAAAAAACUAGGAUUAGAUACCCUAUUAUUAAAAUAUAAUAUAUAAAAAUUAAAAGAUUAAAUAUUAAAUUACUAAAUUUAAAAAAUUUGGCGGUAUUUAUUAAUCUAGAUAAACUUAAAUCUUAAACUGAUAAUCCACAUUUAAAUUUUCUAAAAUUUUAUUUUUAUAUAUUACUGUAAAAAUUUAUUUUUAUUAAUAAAAUUUAAAAUUUAAAAAAAUUAUUUUCAAGUCGAAAUAUAAAUUUAUUUUAGGGUAUUGGAGUUGCUUUUUAAAAUUUAAAAUAAAUAAAUUUUUUUUAAUAAAUAAAAUUUUAGAAUUUAGAAAUAAAUUUUUAAAAAUUUAAAAAUUGAAUAUUUAAAUAAAUAUGUACAUAUUGCCCGUCAUUCUAAUUUAUUAGACAAGUCGUAACAAAGUAAUUUUACUGGAAAGUAAAAUUAGUGUUUAAAUUUUAGUUUAUUUAAAAUAUAAUAAUUACAAUAUUAAGAAAUUUUUUUUUAAAUUU